AUUGAACGCUGGCGGCAGGCCUAACACAUGCAAGUCGAGCGGGGUUUUCGGACCUAGCGGCGGACGGGUGAGUAAUGCGUAGGAAGCUGCCCGAUAGAGGGGGAUACCAGUUGGAAACGACUGUUAAUACCGCAUAAUGUCUACGGACCAAAGUGUGGGACCUUCGGGCCACAUGCUAUCGGAUGCGCCUACGUGGGAUUAGCUAGUUGGUGAGGUAAUGGCUCACCAAGGCGACGAUCUCUAGCUGGUUUGAGAGGAUGAUCAGCCACACUGGAACUGAGACACGGUCCAGAGUCCUACGGGAGGCAGCAGUGGGGAAUAUUGGACAAUGGGGGGAACCCUGAUCCAGCCAUGCCGCGUGUGUGAAGAAGGCCUUAUGGUUGUAAAGCACUUUAAGCGAGGAGGAGGCUCUUUUGGUUAAUACCCAGGAUGAGUGGACGUUACUCGCAGAAUAAGCACCGGCUAACUCUGUGCCAGCCGCCGCCGUAACAC
rnacentral:rRNA from 1 species